rnacentral:rRNA from 1 species
GGACAGUGUCUGGUGGGUAGUUUGACUGGGGCGGUCUCCUCCUAAAGAGUAACGGAGGAGCACGAAGGUUGGCUAAUCCUGGUCGGACAUCAGGAGGUUAGUGCAAUGGCAUAAGCCAGCUUGACUGCGAGCGUGACGGCGCGAGCAGGUGCGAAAGCAGGUCAUAGUGAUCCGGUGGUUCUGAAUGGAAGGGCCAUCGCUCAACGGAUAAAAGGUACUCCGGGGAUAACAGGCUGAUACCGCCCAAGAGUUCAUAUCGACGGCGGUGUUUGGCACCUCGAUGUCGGCUCAUCACAUCCUGGGGCUGAAGUAGGUCCCAAGGGUAUGGCUGUUCGCCAUUUAAAGUGGUACGCGAGCUGGGUUUAGAACGUCGUGAGACAGUUCGGUCCCUAUCUGCCGUGGGCGCUGGAGAACUGAGGGGGGCUGCUCCUAGUACGAGAGGACCGGAGUGGACGCAUCACUGGUGUUCGGGUUGUCAUGCCAAUGGCACUGCCCGGUAGCUAAAUGCGGAAGAGAUAAGUGCUGAAAGCAUCUAAGCACGAAACUUGCCCCGAGAUGAGUUCUCCCUGAGACUUUAGGUCUCCUG